rnacentral:rRNA from 1 species
UACGUAGGGUGCAAGCGUUAAUCGGAAUUACUGGGCGUAAAGCGUGCGCAGGCGGUUUUGUAAGUCUGACGUGAAAGCCCCGGGCUCAACCUGGGAAUCGCGUUGGAGACUGCAAGGCUUGAAUCUGGCAGAGGGGGGUAGAAUUCCACGUGUAGCAGUGAAAUGCGUAGAGAUGUGGAGGAACACCGAUGGCGAAGGCAGCCCCCUGGGUCAAGAUUGACGCUCAUGCACGAAAGCGUGGGGAGCAAACAGG